rnacentral:lncRNA from 1 species
GCAGAACUGUGGGGUGGUUAACACUUGAAAGCUAGGAACGCCACUGGGUGCCUUUCAUCCAAGGGCACUCUAAUUUGUGUGGCAGGUGAGGAUGUAUAGAGAGUUGUAGUCUUUUUCUUUUCUUUUAUUUUUUUCAUACCAGAGAUUGAACUCAGGAGUAUUUAAUCACGGAGCCACAUUCCCAGACCUUUUUUAUAUUUUAUUUAGAGACAGGGUUUUGCUGAGUUGCUUAGCACCUCACUAAGUUGCUGAGGCUGGCUUUGAACUCGCGAUUCUCCUGCCUCAGCCUCCCGAGCCCCUGGGAUGACAGGGUUGCACCACUGUGCCCAGCCCCAGCCCUUUUUAUUUUUUAUUUUGAGACAGGUCUUUCUAAGUUGCUGAGUCUGGCCUCCAAAUUGUGAUCCUCCUGCCUUAGCCUCCUGAGUCAUAGGAAUAUAGGUGUGUGCCACUGUGCCUGCUGAAAGUUGUACUCACAAUGGUUUCUGGUGUCAUGAGUAGAGUUCUAGACAAGAAGAAUGGCUAAAAAAUUAAGGGAGAGGUUCCUGAAAGAAAUAAACUGUAAAGCAAAUGAGUCACAAAAUAUUUAUGUAAAUUCUGUCCAAACUCUUGGUUGUUACUCACACAUAGGAGGUUCCAGAAGUUCCAGUAAGCUCAGUAGCUUGGAAGCUGGAAGAACUGGUGGAAAUUCAGCCACUGCUGUCUCCAAUGGAAAUAGUUUGGAGUUUGAGUUCAGCCAAGUAAAUUGCCUGCUAGAACAAAAGGAAUGCUCUUGAGAGGAAUAUAACGGAAUCCAGGGUCUCUACAAUGUACCCUUGACAGUGACCGGCACAGAAUAAUCCAGACCAGACAUAUGGAGAAACAGAAAACUAAUCAUACUCACAACCCACGAAGAGAAAGAGUGAGGUUCCCAGAUGUCAGAAUCAGUAACAAGGGUUUUAAAACAAUUCUUAACGUCUUCAAGGCCUUAAUGGAAACUCAGUCAAAAUGAAGGAGAACAGAUGUGGAUCCUCAGAACAAAAACUAUGAAAAACAAGGUGGAAAUUCUAGAACCGAAAAGUAAAAUAACCUGAAAUGAAAAAUGCACAAAAUAGUAGGAUGAAGAUGGCAAAGAAUGAAUGUGAAGACAGUUCAGUGGAGAUGAUUCAUUUUUAAAGAGUAAAGGGAGAAAAAAUAGAUAGUUAAACCAAGCUUAUGAACCUGUGAGGCAGCAUUAAAAGAUCUGCACGCCACAUGCAAUUUGAAUUUUAGAAGAGAAUGGAGCACAAAAAUAUUUGAAGUAUUGACUGAUUUCUCCAAUUUCUUCAGUCAAAUUUGUAAGCUCAGAGAUCCUGGUGAUUGCUGGAUGCAGUGGCACACACCGAUAAUCCCAUCCGCUCAGGAGGCUGAGGCAGGAGGAUCACAAGUUCAAGGCCAGUCUAAGCAACUCUGUGAGACCUUGUCUCAAAAUAAAACGUAAAAAGGGGUAGGGAUGUGGCUCCGUGGUAGAGCCCUUGCCCAGCAUGUGUGAAGCCCUGGGUUCAAUCCUCAGCACCACACACACACUCACACACACACAGCUCACUGAAGCCCAAGCAGAUAAAAACACAAAGCCAACCUUGCCUAGGCACGCCCUAGUCAAACUGCUGAAAUCCUCAGAUAGAAAAAUCCUGAAAACGGAAGGGCUUGUAGCUCUGUGGCUGAGUGUUGGUCUAGCUCGCAUGAGAUCCUGCUUUUGAUUCCUGACGCUGAAAUAAGAUCUUGAAAACAUCUAGAAAAAAAAUGACUCAUUAUAAACAGAAUAAUGACAAGUGACAGCUGGCUUCUCGUUGCCAACAAUGAAGGUUGGAACCCACUGGAUUGACACUGAGGCGGGGGAGGGGGAAGGCCAACUCUCAAGAGAGAUCAUAGCUACAUCCAGGGAAACUGUCCUUCAAAAAUGAAGCCAAAAUAGAGACCUUAGCGAUAAGCAGAAACUGAUUUGUCACCAGAAGAUCUGCAUAAAACAAUCACCAAGAAAGUUCAUCUGGCUGAGGGGGAAUGACACCAGGUGACAACUCAGGUUGAGACAUCAUUACCCUAGGGAUACCCAUGACUGCACAUGUGGUGGGACUGUCCACCGCCCACAACCAGAGACAUGAAGAGUCCUGCCGCAUUUGUGUACAAUGAGGCGAAACGAGUUCUGCUAUCUUGUAUAACUAGUUAGAACAAAUUAAAAAAAAAAAGAAAAUUCAGGUUGAUGAAAUGUAAUGAAAAACAUUCGAAAUGGUAAAUAUGUG